UGCGUAGGUGGCAAGCGUUGUCCGGAAUUAUUGGGCGUAAAGCGCGCGCAGGCGGUCCUUUAAGUCUGAUGUGAAAGCCCACGGCUCAACCGUGGAGGGUCAUUGGAAACUGGGGGACUUGAGUGCAGAAGAGGAAAGCGGAAUUCCACGUGUAGCGGUGAAAUGCGUAGAGAUGUGGAGGAACACCAGUGGCGAAGGCGGCUUUCUGGUCUGUAACUGACGCUCAUGCACGAAAGCGUGGGGAGCGAACAG
rnacentral:rRNA from 1 species